UCGUUGUGUGAUGUGAUUUAGAAUUUAAGUUUGCUGGCAGAUCCUAGCUUCUUAUCAUUCCAGGUCUCAAUCAAUUGAGAUUAGGUUGAUAGGACGCUGGGCUCACUGUAAUUCGCAAGAAUUGCAGAGAUGUUCAGCAGAACCUUGACAACUGCAUAGGUAAGUCUGGAAAGAAUAAAGCAUCUCAUGGAUGCAUUGUUCUUGGCAAUCAGCUAAUGCAAUCUGCGCGAGCAGAGAGCUGAGGUUGAUCAACGAGAAUGAUGUUUGAUUCUUGAGUCAAGAGCCGAGACUCUAUAGCGUUCUUUCGAUGUCAUCGAGUCAUCGAGAGUUUGAUUGGUGAUUCAAACCAUCUUCAAUGACAAACAAUUCAGUUUAACU
rnacentral:misc_RNA from 1 species